rnacentral:rRNA from 1 species
UAGAGCGGCGGACGGGUGAGUAACGCGUAGGAAUCUACCUGGUAGUGGGGGACAACUUGGGGAAACUCAAGCUAAUACCGCAUACGCCCUAAGGGGGAAAGCGGGGGAUCUUCGGACCUCGCGCUAUUGGAUGAGCCUGCGUAGGAUUAGCUUGUUGGUGAGGUAAAGGCUCACCAAGGCGACGAUCCUUAGCUGGUCUGAGAGGAUGAUCAGCCACACCGGGACUGAGACACGGUCCAGACUCC